CCUACGGGAGGCAGCAGUGAGGAAUAUUGGUCAAUGGCCGAGAGGCUGAACCAGCCAAGUCGCGUGAGGGAAGAAUGUCCUAUGGAUUGUAAACCUCUUUUGUCAGGGAGCAAAGUCACCCACGUGUGUGUGUUUGAGAGUACCGGAAGAAAAAGCAUCGGCUAACUCCGUGCCAGCAGCCGCGGUAAUACGGAGGAUGCGAGCGUUAUCCGGAUUUAUUGGGUUUAAGGGGUGCGUAGGCGGUUUAGAAAGUCAGCGGUAAAAUCGGGGAGCUCAACUCCAUCCAGCCGUUGAAACUGAUGAUCUUGAGUGGGCGAGAAGUAGGCGGAAUGGGUGGUGUAGCGGUGAAAUGCAUAGAUAUCACGCAGAACUCCGAUUGCGAAGGCAGCAUACCGACGCACGACUGACGCUGAAGCACGAAAGCGUGGGUAUCGAACAGGAUUAGAUACCCUUGUAGUC
rnacentral:rRNA from 1 species